CGCCUGGGGAGUGCGGCCGCAAGGUUAAAACUCAAAUGAAUUGACGGGGGCCCGCACAAGCGGUGGAGCAUGUGGUUUAAUUCGACGCAACGCGAAGAACCUUACCUGGCCUUGACAUGCAGAGAACUUUCCAGAGAUGGAUUGGUGCCUUCGGGAACUCUGUCACAGGUGCUGCAUGGCCGUCGUCAGCUCGUGUCGUGAGAUGUUGGGUUAAGUCCCGUAACGAGCGCAACCCCUAUCCCUAGUUGCUAGCAGUUCGGCUGAGAACUCUAGGGAGACUGCCGGUGACAAACCGGAGGAAGGUGGGGAUGACGUCAGGUCAUCAUGGCCCUUACGGCCAGGGCUACACACGUGCUACAAUGGUGCGCACAGAGGGCUGCAAACCCGCGAGGGGGAGCCAAUCUCACAAAACGCAUCGUAGUCCGGAUCGCAGUCUGCAACUCGACUGCGUGAAGUCGGAAUCGCUAGUAAUCGUGAAUCAGAAUGUCACGGUGAAUACGUUCCCGGGCCUUGUACACACCGCCCGUCACACCAUGGGAGUGGAUUGCACCAGAAGUGGUUAGUCUAACCUUCGGGAGGACGAUCACCACGGUGUGGUUCAUGACUGGGGUGAAGUCGUAACAAGGUAACCGUA
rnacentral:rRNA from 1 species